rnacentral:lncRNA from 1 species
UGGCGGCUCCGCUCCGCCCCCUCUCCAAUUGGGGUCACGCGUGGCGAGCCGCUGGGCCUGCUCCCGGCGCUGGCGGCGGCCCGGCUCCUCCCCUCUGGCUCGACGACAAAUCGAGAGAGACUCGGGUGUCUGUGCCUCACCCCGCCUACCAGGAGACCAACUGUUUCUGUCACCGCUGGUAUUGAUGAAGUUCUCUCCUCCGCCGCUUUCUGAUGACAUCAGAUCUCUACCAUGUUGGUAUCCUAUGCGAAUGGCAGCAUUUCGUUCCCCUUGCCGGG